rnacentral:rRNA from 1 species
UACGAAGGGGGCUAGCGUUGCUCGGAAUCACUGGGCGUAAAGGGCUCGUAGGCGGCCAACUAAGUCAGACGUGAAAUCCCUCGGCUUAACCGGGGAACUGCAUCUGAUACUGGAUGGCUUGAGAUUGGGAGAGGGAUGCGGAAUUCCAGGUGUAGCGGUGAAAUGCGUAGAUAUCUGGAGGAACACCGGUGGCGAAGGCGGCAUCCUGGACCGACACUGACGCUGAGGCGCGAAAGCUAGGGUAGCAAACGGG